CACACCCACACUACUACCCCAGAGAUGCCAUUGAGAGCUGCAUUUGCCUUAAAUAGGACUGAAAAAGAAGGCAAGUGAAAACUGUUUCACAGCUCAAAUGAGAUGUGUGGAAUCUGUGUCAAUCUGCUCAAAAUUAAUUCCAGUUUGUCCCCUGAGACACUUGGGCCUUCCUCAGAAGCAACACACUCUUCCAGAGCUGACUGAGCUGUAGACAGCAAAUAAAGAGAAGAUGGAGAAGUGGACACGUCCCAGUUGACUUAUAUAUUAAAGGUCUGAGAGAGAUAGCCAGAGGAGGAAAGAAGGCACAAGACCAGAAAUCAGGUGAGACAUGCACAUAUAUGAGUAUUUGUCAAUUGUACUGGCUAGUUUCAUGUGUCAACUUGACACAGGCUGGAGUUAUCACAGAGAAAGGAGCUUCAGUUCGGGAAGUGCCUCCCUGAGAUCCAGCUGUGGGGCAUUUUCUCAAUUAGUGAUCAAGUGGUAAGGGCCCCUUGUGGGUGGUUCCACCUUUGGGCUGGUGCUCUUGGGUUCUAUAAGAGAGCAGGCUGAGCAAGCCAGGGGAAGCAAGCCAGUAAGAAACAUCCCUCCAUGGCCUCUGCAUCAGCUCCUGCUUCCUGACCUGCUUGAGUUCCAGUCCUGACUUCCUUUUGUGAUGAACUGCAACGUGCAAGUGUAAGCUCAAUAAACCCUUUCCUCCCCCAACUUGCUUCUUGGUCAUGAUGUUUGUGCAGGAAUAGAAACCCUAAGACAAAUUGGUACCAGCAUAGUGGGGUAUUCCUGUGACAACCUGACCAUGUUUUGGGGAGGAUUGUGGAAGGACUUUGGAACUUUGAGCUAGAAAAGCUGUGGAAAGUUCUGUAGGAGCUUGGAAGACAAUGUUACGAACAGUGCAGAAGAUGGAGGCCUGGCUUGUGAAAUUUCAGAGGGAAGAUUAAAAACUCUUACAGUGGCUAUGUUUUGAUUGUGAAGAUUCUGUGGUUUUGGUUAGCUGGGGGCUGAAGAAUCAGCUGUAAGUAACAAGAUACCAGAACCACUAAAGCAAACCCUUGUGUUACUGGGACUAUUGAUGCUGGUUAGCUGGAGCUAAGAAAUUAGCAGUGAUUAAGAAGAGACCAGCAUCACUGAGAUGAAAUCUUGGAAGUGUUUUCUGAGAGCACAGAGAGUGUAUUCCAGAGAUAGCCACAGUUGUAUUUUGUGCUGUGGCUGGACUUGGUACUGUGUAAGAGUCACCCAGAUGGUACUGGAUUUGAAGGCAUGAAGGGGUCAUGAAGAGCAGCUGAGGCUCUUGGCACAGUGAGAGGCCACGGAAGGCCAUUGGUGAAAGUGCAGCCUCAGUUGCAAUUGAUGGCCCAGGACUUGAAGAGGUCAUGCAUAGGAGCAGAGGCUUGUCACCAUGAAGAGAGCCUAUGAGAGGCUAUUGGUGAAGCCUAAUUACAGUGGAAGAUAGCAGUAUUUUGGAGAUGCUAGUACCAUACGAUGACCACCAAGAACAGCAGCAGCAGUGGAGUACAGGCAGCUGGAGCCUGGAAGACAAGCUGUGUGCUACAAAGGGCAGGACUGAAGGAGUGACCCAAGCCCUUGGAGGAGCCCAGAAGAUCGUGAGUUGGAUCCCAGACAUUGAACUAUUGGAGUUUGAGUUUUGCUUUUGGUUGUGACUGUGCCCUGAUAUGUUUCCCUCUUGAAGGAAGAAAGUAUUUUAGUGGAGCCCACAGUUGAGAGACUGAAUUUUUAAAAAACUUUGGAUUUUAAAGAUAUUGGAUAUUUUAAGGUGAUUGAACUUUUAAUAUGUAAAGACUGUGGGACUUUUAAAGUAAUUUAGAUCUUGGGGAUGAAUAAGAAAGUAAGGGUUGAGGCUUAAUAAUGAUGUGUUUGUGUGUCAAGUUGACAAGGGAUCAAUUGUACUGGCUGAUUUUGUGUGUCAACUUGACACAGGCUGGAGUUAUCACAGAGAAAGGAGUUUCAGUUGGGGAAGUGCCUCCAUGAGAUCCAACUGUGGGGCAUUUUCUCAAUUAGUGAUCAAGUGGUGAGGGCCCCUUGUGGGUGGUUCCACCUUUGGGCUGGUGCUCUUGGGUUUUAUAAGAGAGCAGGCUGAGCAAGCCAGGGGAAGCAAGCCAGUAAGAAACAUCCCUCCAUGGCCUCUGCAUCAGCUCCUGCUUCCUGACUUGCUUGAGUUCCAGUCCUGACUUCCUUUUGUGAUGAACUGCAACAUGCAAGUGUAAGCUCAAUAAACCCUUUCCUCCCCAACUUGCUUCUUGGUCAAGAUGUUUGUGCAGGAAUAGAAACCCUGACUAAGACAUAUGUAUAGCAUCUGGAGGUGGCAUCUGCAGGGGAGAUCUAAAGUCCUCCUGAUAUUUGUGUGGAAGAGGAUAAAGAUGAUAAUCAAAGAGGAAGAAUCUAAGAUGCAUGUUUUCUAUGUGAACACUGCAUAGUCUAUCCUAAUAGCUAUUGAAUUAAAUAUUUUAAAUGGUUAACUUGCACAUUGUCUGAAUUAUGUGCCCAUAAAGUCGGUUUUUAAAAAAGAGUAUUCCUUCCCCCAAAAAUAUACAUAUGCAUUUCCCUUAGAAGUUUGUUGUUAAGGCAAAAACAGCUCAAGAAGCCUGAAUGUUUUUAAGUCACCAAUGAAUGCUUUCCAAUUCAUUCUUGCACAAGAUUGCCAUGUGAGCCUUCUGUUAUGUUUUGGUAACAAAAAGUUAGGAAAUGACCCUUAAAAGUGUGUGUGUGCGUUAACAAAUACUAGGUUAGUGAAAGUGCCCAUAAGUCCAAAGUACUCCUUUCAAAAGUUGGGAAAUGGAACUUUCUUCGGAGCUCCCAUUGUUACAAAGCAGCAAGAAUGUGGAAGCUUGAUCUGAGGUCUUGGAAAUUCUCUUCCCCACCCACAUCCAACGCUUCCUGCGAUUGUUUGUAGAGAGCAGCGAUUUGAGGGUAAGCGUGUUUAGAACACAGUCAUGCUUAUGGUUGCAUCCAGCUCUUCUGGCCUUUGAAACAAAUCACACUGGCACGGAUCCAAUCAGUUGCACACCACCACCCAGCUAACAGCCGCAGCCAGGUAGCGCCAGCCGCCCAGGACUAACCUGGAGACUAAUCAGGGCCCACAGCUCACAAUUCUGCUCUUACACCCUCUGAAAGGACAACAGUGGAAUAACAAUAACUCCCCUUUCCUGAGCAUCAGCCUGGGCAGAGCUGUCCGGAGGCUACAGAAAUGUAAAGAGUUCAGACCUUAACUAGGAAUUCUUAAAUCGCUAGAUGUCAUCAACGUAAAUAACAGCCAUCUGUGACUCACAUCAGAAAUUUACAAAGUUAAUUAUGGGAUAUCAUUUCUGAUUCUCUCCCAGGAUGGUUCUGGCGCUGCUACGUGCUAGGCGAUGGUCUAGACAUUUUACAUAUGGCAACUCUUAAUGUUCGCAAUAUUCUAUUACGAGGGUAAUAAGCACCCCAUUCUGCAAAUUUAAAGAAACUGCAAACACGUAGGGAAAAGACACUGUCUGAUAUUAAAACAGUAUCUGGGAGUUCAAGAAGCUUUGAUUUGUAGCCAUUCCAGAGUUUCUCGGGAGCCCCAAAGCCAUUGCUGCUGCAUCCACCAUUUCCACCAUUUGUUCUGUACCCUUAUUUCCUGUGACACCCUAGGAGGGACUUGUAAGGCUGAACUCACCCCUGUGUGUUGGCCAGAGAGGGCAAUGCUGUGCCACAGGAUAACCUGGAUCUCAGUAGCCCAAUAUAAUAGAGUUUCUUCCUCACACAAAGUCAGCUGUGGAUGCUGGGAGUCCUUUGAGGCAGCUAAGAGCCCCCUGCUCCAAUCCUCCCAGGGCCCUCCUAACAAUCCCCCUCCAAGCUUCAUGGCUUUUUUGUUUUGUUUUGUUUUGUUUUGUUUUGUUUGAGACAGAGUCUUUCUAUGUAGUUUAUGGCUAUCCUGAAACUCUCUAUGUAGACUAGACUGGCCUAGAACUCAAAAAGAUCUUUCCGCAUCUGCCUCCCAAGUGCUGGGAUUAAAAAUGUAUCUGAGCCCACCUGGAGUAUUUCCUCUCCCCGUCCCCCA